UGCAUGACAGUCGUCCUUUGCCAAAUCAAUGGACAUGAUUCAGUCACGUGACUCAGUGGCAAGCAAAAUAAUUAUUCGCUCUCAAACUAGCAGGCUGAACAACCUUUUCAGGAGUUUAGCAGCUUAACAAGUGGAUGAAUUGAAACAAUGGACCUCAGUGAAACGCAUGCAUAGUGUUUUGUUGCCCAACAGAAAAAUGACACAGACCACUGAUGUACGUGCUGGCUUCCCAAACGCUGCCAGAGAAUGGAUGGCGCUGUGUCAAUCGUAUAUUCACUGGAUGGUUUAUUCAUUUUGGAUAAGGUUUACAAAGAAAACUGUGCACUCUCAGAGUCAUCUCGACUGCUGGUGAGACUAUUCGAGGAGCUAGCUAGCAUAGUCCUACUCCUGUCCCAGCUAUUUGGUCGCGGCGUGCUGGAGCCUAUCCCAGCUAUCUUCGGGCGAGAGUUACACCCGUAACUGGUCGCGAGCCAAUCGGAGACAAAGUUUCUCCAUCCCUUUUGCACACGCAAAGCCACCCCCUCGGAUGGAGCUCCGGCUCCCUAGCCUCCGUGGACCGCCGCUGCUUAGCCUCUGGAACAGUGGCUGCUGAGCUACCCAGAUAAGCUCCCAGCCAAAUGUGAGUUUUCCGAACGUGCUAGCAGACCCGGACCCAAGGCGGGGAGAGAGACGGCCAUAUUCUCCCAAGGAGGCGUGACGAACAACCAUUUUUUGUCUUCUGCCUCUUUUGUUUAGUUUUUUAUUAUACAUCUUUUUCUUCUUCAACCAAAUCUGUCUCCGUGCUUCCUGAGACGCGCGCAGAGAGAGACCACUCCCAGAGACCAGCUGAUCUACGUUCAUGAGUAGACACUGCAAGCGUUUGCCAGACUGUACAAUAUUAGUGCCUAAUAAUUUCAGGGAAAUUACUAGCUUCAGACAAAAUCUCAAUUUUGUACUCUCUCGCUCUAGUCCGGAAUGGACGCGUUAAACGCUCGAGUUUUCCACUUUAGUCCAACACAUGAUGUUCUAGUUCCCUUUUCGUAAACCUAUUUUCCUUCUUUUUACCAUUAUUAGUGUUAUUUUCUUUCUUU